rnacentral:rRNA from 1 species
GGCGUCCUACGGGGCGCAGCAGUGGGGAAUAUUGCACAAUGGGGGAAACCCUGAUGCAGCGACGCCGCGUGAGUGAAGAAGUAUUUCGGUAUGUAAAGCUCUAUCAGCAGGAACGAGACAAGACGGUACCUGACUAAGAAGCCCCGGCUAACUACGUGCCAGCAGCCGUGGUAAUACGUAGGGGGCAAGCGUUAUCCGGAAUCACUGGGUGUAAAGGGAGCGUAGACGGCUGUGCAAGCCUGAAGUGAAAGGCGGGGGCCCAACCCCUGGACUGCUUUGGGAACUGGACGGCUGGAGUACAGGAG